rnacentral:rRNA from 1 species
GACGAACGCUGGCGGCGCGCUUAACACAUGCCAGUCGAACGGAAAGGCCUGCUUUCCCUUGUGGAUUGCGGGUACUCGAGUGGCGAACGGGUGAGUAACACGUGAGUGAUCUGCCCCCAACUUGGGUAUAAGCCUGGGAAACUGGGUCUAAUUCCCGAUAGGACUGCAGGGUGGUGCCUGUGGUGGAAAACGAUUUUCUAGUGGUUGGGGAUGAGCUCGCGGCCUAUCAGCUUGUUGGUGGGGUAAUGGCCUACCAAGGCGGCGACGGGUAGCCGGCCUGGGAGGGUGGACGGCCACAUUGGGACUGGGAGACGGCCCAGACUCCUACGGGAGGCAGCAGUGGGGAAUAUUGCACAAUGGGCGGAAGCCUGAUGCAGCGACGCCGCGUGGGGGAUGACGGCCUUCGGGUUGUAAACUCCUUUCGACCGCGAGGAAGCCACCUGGUUGGAAGGGUGGUGACGGUAGUGGUAGAAGAAGCACCGGCUAACUACGUG